rnacentral:rRNA from 1 species
ACAUGAGUAACGAUAAUGUGGGUGAAAAACCUACACGCCGAAAGUCCAAGGUUUCCUGCGCAACGUUAAUCGGCGCAGGGUGAGUCGGCCCCUAAGGCGAGGCAGAAAUGCGUAGUCGAUGGGAAACGGAUUAAUAUUUCCGUACUUAUAUAAUCAGUGAUGGAGGGACGGAGAAGGCUAAGCAAGCUUGGCGUUGGUUGUCCAAGUGAAAGCAAGUAGGCCGAGUGUUUAGGUAAAUCCGGACACUUAAAGCUGAGAUGCGAGACG